AAAGUAUCCUAUGCCACUGCCAUGGACUGGUUCAUAGCUGUCUGCUUUGCCUUU
rfam:Chelonia mydas contig252669, whole genome shotgun sequence.